rnacentral:rRNA from 1 species
GAGUAACACGUGGACAAUCCUGACCCCCCGGCCCGGGAUAGCCCAGGGAAACCUGGAUUAAUACCGGAUGAGACGGGACCCGCGAUGGCGGGACCCGGGAAAGGCGCUGCGGCGCCGCCGGGGGAUGAGUCUGCGUCCCAUUAGCUAGACGGCGGGGUAACGGCCCACCGUGGCGACGAUGGGUAGCCGGCCUGAGAGGGUGGACGGCCACAUUGGAACUGAGACACGGUCCAGGCUCCUACGGGAGGCAGCAGCUAAGAAUCUUCCGCAAUGGGCGAAAGCCUGACGGAGCGAACCGCCGCGUGAACGAAGAAGGCCGUGAGGUUGUAAAGUUCUUUUCGGGAGGGGGGAACAACCGUGGCAGGGAAUUGGCCGCGGGAUGACGUGAAUCCCGGAAUAAGCCCCGGCUAACUACGUGCCAGCCGCCGC